GUAAGUCGGCCCCUAAGGCGAGGACGAAAGUCGUAGUCGAUGGGAAUCCGGUUCAUAUUCCGGAACCUCUUUCAAUUUCGAAGGCAGGACGCAUGAGGUGAAAUCCGGCCGGGCGACGGUUGUCCCGGUCGAAGCAGUAAGCCGUUGACAGUGGCAGGCAAAUCCACCACUUGAGGCAAGCUGUGACAGCGAGUGAUGCUACGGCAAAGCGAAGCGGACGUAAUCAUGGUGCCGGGAAAUACUGUCUAAGGCCAGGUUGAAAGGGACCGUACCGUAAUCCGACACAGGUAGGUGAGAUGAGAAAUCUCAGGCGCUCGAGAGAACUCGCGUUAAGGAACUCGGCAAAAUGCUCACGUAACUUCGGAAGAAGUGUGGCCCCUGUUUGGUUAAAGAGUGGGGGUGGCACAGAGCAGGCCCAGGCGACUGUUUAUCAAAAACACAGCCAUCUGCGAACCAGUAAUGGGACGUAUAGGUGGUGACACCUGCCCGGUGCUGGAAGGUUAAGAGGAGAUGUCAGGGGAGCCCCGAAGCAUUGAAUCGAAGCCCCAGUAAACGGCGGCCGUAACUAUAACGGUCCUAAGGUAGCGAAAUUCCUUGUCGGGUAAGUUCCGACCCGCACGAAUGGUGUAACGAUUCUGGGCACUGUCUCAACGCGAGACUCGGUGAAAUUUAUAUAUCGGUAAAGAAGCCGAUUACCCAUAGUUAGACGGAAAGACCCCGUGAACCUUCACCGUAACUUAUUAUUGGGACUUGAUUUAGCAUGUGUAGGAUAGGUGGGAGACAGUGAAGCGUGGCCGUCAGGUUGCGUGGAGUCGUCCGGUGAAAUACCACCCUUGCUGAAUUAGGUUUCUAACCUUGGCCGUGAAUCCGGUCCGGGGACAAUGAUAGGUGGGCGGUUUGACUGGGGCGGUCGCCUCCCAAACAGUAACGGAGGUGCGCGAAGGUCCCCUCGCGCCGGUUGGAAAUCGGCGUUUGAGUGUAAAGGCACAAGGGGGCUUGACUGCGAGACUGACAGGUCGAGCAGGUACGAAAGUAGGUCUUAGUGAUCUGGCGGUAGCGAGUGGAAGCGCCGUCACUUAACGGACAAAAGGUACUCCGGGGAUAACAGGCAGAUUUUCCCCAAGAGUUCACAUCGACGGGAAAGUUUGGCACCUCGAUGUCGGCUCAUCGCAUCCUGGGGCUGAAGCAGGUCCCAAGGGUUUGGCUGUUCGCCAAUUAAAGCGGUACGUGAGCUGGGUUCAGAACGUCGCGAGACAGUUCGGUCCCUAUCUGCUAUGGGCGUUGGAUGAUUGAGAGGAGCUGCAUUUAGUACGAGAGGACCGAUGUGGACGAACCUCUGGUGUACCUGUUGUUCUGCCAAGGGCACGUGCUGGGUAGCUAAGUUCGGAAGGGAUAACCGCUGAAGGCAUCUAAGUGGGAAGCCCACCCCAAGAUAAAUCAUCCCUGGGGAUUUAAUCCCCCUAAAGACUCCUGGGAGACUACCAGGUUGAUAGGUUGGAGGUCUACGCACUGCAAGGUGUUCAGCCGACCAAUACUAAUAAGUCGUGAGGCUUGACC
rnacentral:rRNA from 1 species